UCUUUCAGAGAACAACCCCCAGCUCGUAUCUCAACGUUACAAACUUUUUAAUACUGCGAGUACAAUAGUGUAAGUAAUAGUUGGUUUAUUAAUGUAUGAUAGUCAUUUGAGAAAUAAUGUCAGAGGACAUGUUCGCUGAGCCUGGCAUCACCAAGAAGGUUCACUUUGGUCAGAACCACAGGGAGAGUAUAGUGGACAUCUAUGUCAGUGCAGAAAGCCUCAGAGUGUAUGACAACCCCUGGGUGGAGGGCACAUCAACAAGUAUACCUACAGGGGCUCAGCACCCAGGUAUGAACACGACGAGAAACAAGCGUAUUGUCUGUGGUCACUGAAAACUCAAGGAGGAGGAAGCGUACCAGAACAGUUUCAGUGUUUCAGUGUGUGGUGUAUCUUCUCCUCCUGGCUGGGAUCAUGGCCCUCAUUUUCCUCGGGGUCCAAAUGAAAAAUGACAAAACCAGCUGGAGAAAAGAGAGAAACCAGUUACUGGCAGUUAAUGCCAAGCUUGAGAAAAUAAGGGACCAGUUAAUAGCCAAUAACACUGAACUCAAGAAGUGUGUGUUGCUUUGUGGACAGAAGGAUAAGAAAUGUAAGAAUUGGCCUGAGUAUUGCUGCUAAAGGAAGGAACUGAGAAAGUGUGGAUGGGACGCUGCUGACCACAGAGCAGUACUAGCAUGUCACACAACUUUUACAUCAACCAAACGAAGAUUGUGUUGUGAUAGAAAAGCCACAAGAUGAAGAUGAAGAUCGGUGGGAUGUGUUAAAACGUUCAAUGACAGAAUAAUUGACUUCAACCAGUUUCCACAUUCUGUUCCUGUUCUAAUUAAUUGUGUUACAUUAGUGAAAUUCACUUUCAAAUAAAUGUUUACAGAAUAUUAUUACACUGGAGAGUUGGUUACUAUCUGAUCUUCUUACUACUUUCCCAACUUGACUGUUGUAGUGAUGCUGCUUUUUUUCUCUCAUCACAGCAAUUAUGUUUGUGAGUAAUCAAAGCACAACCCUAUCUCAUACAAAAAGUGUUUAUUAACUACAGAUUUACUUUGUCAAACAUGGCUGGUGCCUGGGUUCAGUGUCAGUAUGUCUGACAUCCUUAUACUGCACAGAAGUCAUAGCGAGCUUGUCAGUGUGGAUGGUUGGGUAAACAAAGCACAGAGACUGUGACAGGGGUUUGACAUCCCACAUGUUGCAGUUGUUUGGCUAUUACCGGUAUGCAGAUAUAUGUUUAGUAUGAAUAUUGUGCUUUCUAACAACCAAACCAAUCCCCUGGGUUUUAUAAAUGCAACUGCUCCAACAAACUGUAUUGUAAUACUUGUAAUAAAUGUUGGCCUCUUUCUCUCAAAA